CAGCCACACUGGAACUGAGACACGGUCCAGACUCCUACGGGAGGCAGCAGUGGGGAAUUUUGGACAAUGGGCGCAAGCCUGAUCCAGCCAUUCCGCGUGAGUGAAGAAGGCCUUCGGGUUGUAAAGCUCUUUCGCAAGGGAAGAAAACUUACAUUCUAAUAAAGUGUGAGGCUGACGGUACCUUGAUAAGAAGCACCGGCUAACUACGUGCCAGCAGCCGCGGUAAUACGUAGGGUGCGAGCGUUAAUCGGAAUUACUGGGCGUAAAGCGUGCGCAGGCGGUUUUGUAAGUCAGAUGUGAAAUCCCCGAGCUCAACUUGGGAACUGCGUUUGAAACUACAAGACUAGAAUAUGUCAGAGGGGGGUAGAAUUCCACGUGUAGCAGUGAAAUGCGUAGAGAUGUGGAGGAAUACCAAUGGCGAAGGCAGCCCCCUGGGAUAAUAUUGACGCUCAUGCACGAAAGCGUGGGGAGCAAACAGGAUUAGAUGCCCUGGUAGUCCACGCCCUAAACGAUGUCUACUAGUUGUUGGUGGAGUAAAAUCCAUGAGUAACGCAGCUAACGCGUGAAGU
rnacentral:rRNA from 1 species